rnacentral:rRNA from 1 species
UACGAAGGGGGCUAGCGUUGUUCGGAAUUACUGGGCGUAAAGGGCGCGUAGGCGGUGUGUCAAGUCAGGCGUGAAAGCCCCGGGCUCAACCUGGGAACCGCGCUUGAGACUGGCACGCUCGAGUUCGGGAGAGGAUGGUGGAAUUCCCAGUGUAGAGGUGAAAUUCGUAAGAUAUUGGGAAGAACACCGAUGGCGAAGGCAGCCAUCUGGACCGACACUGACGCUGAGGCGCGGAAAGCGUGGGGAGCAAACAGG